UACGUAGGGACCGAGCGUUGUCCGGAAUCAUUGGGCGUAAAGAGCGUGUAGGCGGCUUGCUAAGUCUUGCGUGAAAUCUCGGGGCUCAACCCCGAGCGGUCGUGGGAAACUGGCAGGCUAGAGUGCGGGGAGAGGAGAAUGGAAUUCCUGGUGUAGCGGUGGAAUGCGCAGAUAUCAGGAGGAACACCGAUGGCGAAGGCAGCUCGCUGGGACGGUACUGACGCUGAGGCGCGAAAGCGUGGGGAGCGAACAGG
rnacentral:rRNA from 1 species